AGGAAAAUACUACCCUGCUCUGUGGUCAUGGGGAAAGACAUGUCAGUCUCCCAAGGCAAGUCAAUAGAGCAAAACUUAAGUCAUUGAAAAAUGCCAUUUUUUAAUACACAAAAAUCAAACUUUGCAACAGAGAUGUGAGGCAGUGCACAGAGCAGUUGUAUCUUUCAGAAAUCUAACUGAACACAAAUAGCCAGGAGUCCAUGUACUAACUUAAAGCAGCAAUUAUACCACUUCUCUCUCCGUUCUUCUCCUCGCUCUUCCCUGAAACGCUACAACCAAAACUGACAGCACACCACAUCUUCCCAAGCCUCAGUAUUUACUCACACAUAGAGGAGAACAUGGGAGGCUUUUUAAAAUCCCCCUGACAACUGGUACAAGAAAACUGUUAACUAUUAGUGGAAUGUCCUCUCAUAAAAUGCCAAACAGUCUUGUGUUUUUCAGGUCAAAAGCUAACAAGAUGAACUGUGAGCUCUUAUUACUUUUCUGUUCAUCCACAGUAAAAGUAUAGAGUGCUUUAAAAAUGUUGAGAACAUGACAGUGAUUGACAAGAAAAGAAGGCAUGUAAGGAGAUACUGUGCUGAAGAAAUUUUAAUUAUUUUAAUUAUUUUUGUAAAGCAAAAUUCAUACUGAUAGAGGUUCUUGCAUUUGCAGUGUCAGCCAGGAGCCAGGGCUGUUUUCUCAACCAAGACCCUUAUACACUCUGCCUUGCACCCUUAUGAAAGAACACCUAAUUUGGUGUCUUGCAGGAUUAUAAUGUGAAUUCCUUAGUUAAUUGCUGAAGACGCUGCUGUUCCCCUGCCCUAUGCUUAGUGCACUGAUUUGCAUGCUUACAAGACAAAAGCAAAUUGCAGAACAUAGAGAUUUGAAUGUAAACCCAUUGCUAAACUUUGGCCUGGAAGCAUCAAGUUGUUCUUCUGAUCAUUCACAUUUACAGAAGGAACUGUAGGUAAAAGCACAUGUAUGCAACUGUGAAGCCUUGGAUAUCCUCUGGAGAUGGAUGCAGGCAGGGCAUUCCAGCUUGGAAGUCCCCAAGAGCAGCAUAACAAGUGUAUAACCAUUAUGUCCUUCUACUUAUUCUGGCCUUGUAUAAGAUGAAGCUGUGUGUCAUAUACUUAAUAUUAAAUGGACUGAAAAGGUCACUUGGUUUCUCUUUAAUUC